rnacentral:rRNA from 1 species
GGCUCAGAACGAACGCUGGCGGCGUGCCUAACACAUGCAAGUCGAAGGGAAAGCCCGCAAGGGUGAGUACAGCGGCGCACGGGUGCGUAACACGUGGGUAAUCUGCCUGAAGCUCGGGAUAACUCGCCGAAAGGCGUGCUAAUACCGGAUAAGACCACGGGAGCUCGGCUCCUGUGGGAAAAGGUGGCCUCUGUAUACAAGCUAUCACUUCAGGAUGAGCCCGGGCCCAUCAGCUCGUUGGCGGGGUAACGGCCCACCAAGGCUACGACGGGUAGCUGGUCUAGAGGACGAUCAGCCACACUGGAACUGAGACACGGUCCAGACUCCUACGGGAGGCAGCAUGGGGAAUCUUGCGCAAUGGGCGAAAGCCUGACGCAGCAACGCCGCGUGUGUGAUGAAGUCUUCGGAUCGUAAAGCACUGUCGGGAGGGACGAAUAAGGGCCGGGUGAACAAUCCGGUCGAUGACGGUACCUCCAAAGGAAGCACCGGCUAACUCUGUGCCAGCAGCCGCGGUAA